CCGCGGAAGGGAGAAGUAGGAUUGGGUGGGAGCCCGACAACCGGAGAGACCAUCCUGAAGCCGCACGCUCGCGUCGUUUGUGCCACCGGCCCCUUCUACAUGCUCCCGCUGGGCCAGGUGUUCGAAGCCAUCUCGAAAGCCGGCUUCUCCGGGGCCGAGGUGAUGGUCACGAGCGAGCGGGAGAGCCAGGACCCCGUCGCCUUGAAGGCGCUUGCGGAGGACUUCGGCGUCGAGGUGCGCGCCAUCCACGCUCCCUUUUUGCUUCUGACACGGCGUGUGUUCUCGACGGAUCCGCUCGAGAAGAUCAAACGAUCGACCGAGCUCGCGCAAGAGAUCGGCGCGCCCCUUGUCAUCGUCCACCCGGCCUUCCAUUGGCAGCGC
rnacentral:misc_RNA from 1 species